CUCUACAGUUUAUUUCAGUCAAAAUUUAAAUAUUAGUCCUUUCAGAAUUGAUUCAGUCACAGAUAAUAACGUACCCAUUUUAUCGUACAUUUUAUAACUGUACCCAUUACUCUGUCAUCAUUCUGCAGGCUGGCUUAUAGUAUCCCUGAUAAGACUAUUCAAAAGUCCACAUUUUAGGCAGAGAAAUGUGUUUAAAACAAAAAAUAAAGCAAAAACAUCAGAUAAGACAACACAAAGUUUAAUUUUCCUGUGGAAGGACAAUGAAGGGUAUUUCAAAUUGUAGAAUGAGACAACAUUUGUUUUACUGCUACUAAAGGGCUCGUAGGCUGGGGUAUAAAUACAGAAAACACUGAUUAGUUACAACAGCUUCAAUAGCUGGAUCCUGUUAUAGGGGUCUUUUAUUAAACACAAUAAACAAAAACACUAAUAUACAUGUGGCAGUAUAGUGAGGUAGAUAACCAAUCAAGAUCAUGCUUUUUGAUUGGUCUCUCAGAUGGGCUGGUUUCCUAUAAAAAGCCUCUGUUCUACUACUGUGCACCCCUCUGACUUCAGGCAUUGGUUGUCCCUGGCUGUCUACUUCCGUGUUUUCUGUGCUUCACGGCAGCACGGAUAGUUUUAUAUCGAACCACAGAUCGACACAACUUAUUAGGGACGGUGACUUUUGCAAAGGUCAAGAGGCUUUCCCUCCAAUGAGCUGUAGUCCAGCUCCAAGUGUGAUUCUGCUGCUCUGCCCAGCUCUUUUGCAUUACUACUGUUGCUGGCUGCUUUGGUUGUGGGCAUGUGCCUGGCCCGCUGCUCGAUGUGAUUCCCCAAAGACUGAUUCUGGAGUUAAGCGGGACCUGAUUCAGCUGCCACUGAAAGGCCAUACUAAAAUUGCCCAAGGAACAUUUGUUUUUUUGUUGUUUAUGUAUUGUUCAUUAUAUAUUGACCCAAUCUGUGUCUAGGAGCUGAUUGUCAGAGCUGUGGUGGUGGAUCCUCUGGGGGUGGUUUCUUUUUGGUUUGAGGUGCAUUGCUUGUUUCAUCAUGUUGUGAGUUUUGUUUGUUUUUAGUUUCCCUCCAGUUGUUUUCCACUGUUGACCACAACUCUUGGCCCAGCUAUGUUUUACAUGAUUGUGAUUUUAAGACUAACUUUGUAAAAUAAAAAUUGUAAUUCGA